rnacentral:rRNA from 1 species
UGACGGUAACUUACCAGAAAGGGACGGCUAACUACGUGCCAGCAGCCGCGGUAAUACGUAGGUCCCGAGCGUUGUCCGGAUUUAUUGGGCGUAAAGCGAGCGCAGGCGGUUUAAUAAGUCUGAAGUUAAAGGCAGUGGCUUAACCAUUGUUCGCUUUGGAAACUGUUAGACUUGAGUGCAGAAGGGGAGAGUGGAAUUCCAUGUGUAGCGGUGAAAUGCGUAGAUAUUAGGAAGAACACCAGUGGCGAAGGCGGUUAGCUGGACAAUAACUGACGCUGAGGCGCGAAAGCGUGGGUAGCAAACAGGAUUAGAUACCCUG